rnacentral:lncRNA from 1 species
GUGGUGUGAUCAUGGCUCACUGCAACCUCGACCUCCUGGGCUCAAGUGAUCCUCCCACCACAGCCUCCCAAGUACUGGGACAACAGAUGUGCCACCACCACACUUGAUUAAUUUUUUUUUCUUUUUUGGUAGAGGUGAGGUCUCACUAUGUUGUCCAGACUGGUCUUGAACUCCUGGGCUCAAGUGGUGAUCCACUGCCUUGGCCUCACAAAGUGCUAGGAUUACAGGAGUGAGUCACUGCACCUGGCCUCACCCCCACAUUGUAUCAGUGAAGGUGUGUCUGGAGUUGGUUCCUUCCAGUGGGUUCUUGGUCUCGCUGACUUCAAGAAUGAAGCCGCGGACCUUCGCGGUGAGUGUUACAGCUCUUAAAGGUGGCACAGACCCAAAGUGUGAGCAGCAGCAAGAUGUAUUGUGAAGAGUGAAAGAACAAAGCUUCCACAGCAUGGAAGAGGACCCAAGCAGGUUGCCGUUGCUUGUGGGGGGCGGGGGGGGGCCAGCUUUUAUUCCCUUAUUUGUCCCCUCCCAUGUCCUGCUGAUUAGUCCAUUUUACAGAGUGCUGAUUGGUCCAUUUUACAGAGUGCUGAUUGGUCCAUUUACAAUCCUCUAGCUAGACACAGAAAACUGGUGCGUUUUUACAGACUGCUGAUUGGUGCAUUUACAAUCCUUUAGCUAGACACAGAGCGCUGAUUGGUGUGUUUACAAUCCUCUAGCUAGACAGAAAAGUUCUCCAAGUCCCCACAUCACCCAGGAAGUCUAGCUGGCUUCACCUCUCAAAGGUUCAGGGUAGGAAGCAGAAAUUCCUCCCGUGAUCAUGAACAGAAAGGGAUUCUGUAGAAGGGAUUAGAUGCUUACCUGACCAUUGGAUGGGCCAAAGGAGUGGACUCUGGGCUAGGUGUUGAUAACACCAGUGCAGACCUGGCUCCUCAAGGGAGCUGCUACCUCUGCCACCAUCCACAAGAUGGGGGAUUGGGAGGCGGCCAGUGUAACCUUUGAGUUCAAAAAGACACCACCAAAGUCAUGACCUGAGGAUCAGCAAGCUGGGACCAGGAAGCCAUUGCUGCCACAAGUGCCCCUCAACAACCAAGAAGUGAAGGUGCCACAUCGUGAGGACACUCAACAGCCCUAUGGAGGAGCUCACAUGGAGAGAAACAAAGGUCUUCCGCCAACAACCAUGAGUGUGCCAUUUUGAAAAGGAUCCUCCAGCCCCAGCCAAGCCUUUGCAUGACUGCAGUCAUGGCCAGAAUCCCACUGCAGCCUCACAAGAGCCUUUGAGCUAGAACAAUCCAGCUAAGCCACUCCUGAAUCCUGACCCACAGAGAUUAUGAGAUAAUAAAUGGUUACUGUCAUUUUGAA